rnacentral:tmRNA from 1 species
GGGGACGAUACGGAUUCGACAGGAAUAGGUCGAGCUUAGACUGCGAGUCGAGCUGGGUACUCGUAAAAAUGCCCACGCCUAUAAUUGGCAAAGCUAAAGAAACUUUCACAACACCAGCUCUAGCAGCUGCGUAAAUCGUUGUGGAUCCUUCCUUUCAUCGCCCAUGUGGAAGAUUUGAAGGGUCUCACUUAUUAGUGGGCUACGCUGUCUGACCCCCGUCUGAGGUCAGCAGAAGAGACUAAACAGACUAGCGUUCAUCUAAGCCUGUUGCUAGGCCGAAAUGAUCGCGAAAUGAUAAUAUAGCAACUACACUCGUAGACGUUUAAGUGUCGUUAUUUCUGGACGCGGGUUCAACUCCCGCCGUCUCCACCA